rnacentral:tRNA from 1 species
GUGGUUGUGGCUAAGUGGUAGAGCAUUUGCCUAGCAUGUGUGAGGCACUGGGUUCAAUUCUCAGCACCACA